rnacentral:rRNA from 1 species
AUACGUAGGGGGCGAGCGUUGUCCGGAAUGAUUGGGCGUAAAGGGCGCGUAGGCGGCCCGGUAAGUCUGGAGUGAAAGUCCUGUUUUUAAGAUGGGAAUUGCUUUGGAUACUGUCGGGCUUGAGUGCAGGAGAGGUAAGUGGAAUUCCCAGUGUAGCGGUGAAAUGCGUAGAGAUUGGGAGGAACACCAGUGGCGAAGGCAACUUACUGGACUGUAACUGACGCUGAGGCGCGAAAGUGUGGGGAGCAAACAGGAUUAGAUACCCUGGUAGUCCACACUGUAAACGAUGAAUGCUAGGUGUAGGGGGUAUCGACCCCUUCUGUGCCGCAGUCAACACAAUAAGCAUUCCGCCUGGGGAGUACGGCCGCAAGGUUGAAACUCAAAUGAAUUGACGGGG